CCUACUACCUCCCGUGUUGCCGUUCCGUCGUCCCCACCCGAACGUACGUCCGGGCCGUCGGUACGGACCGACGACGGGGUUACGGGUUAAGUAAAGUUAACGUUCGUAAGGUUAAAAAGGGUUUAAAACGGCUUUGGGGUGGUUAACCCCUUUAAAACCAGUUUAACGGACCGUUUCGGUUUAAACGGAAACGUUUUAACGUUUUUAAACGUUAGGUAGGUCGACAAAGGGGGAAAGGGGGAAGUAGGGUAAGGUUAACCUUACCAGUUGGUAGUACGGCGGUAANAAGUGACGUAGAUAUAGNGGAAGAACCGCGGUGAAGAAGCGCUCUGUGUCUAGUACNGACCGACGGAGCUAAGAACGCGGGUGGGACAACAAGAGUAUAGACCUACGUGGUACACCACGAACCGUAAAGNUGAGUNCGUAGGUUGGUUCGGUUCCGGUUACCGGACUCAGUCGCCGNAUACACGNUAAUAGCACUCCNCGGUGGAGACGCAGUAGUANACAGAAGUAUGGCGGGGCCCGCAUAAGCGGUGGAGCAUGUGGUUUAAUUCGAAGCAACGCGAAGAACCUUACCA
rnacentral:rRNA from 1 species